CUCCAUGCACUACUAUCCUACCUUCAGUCUUGGCAGUUACUACUUUGCACCCUGUGAAAGCCCAAGUGCUGCAGAGAGAUUUCUCCUCUCUCUGCCUUGCUCCUACCCUGCCAUGAGCCAUUGUCUUAACUUGGGAAAGGUCUGAGCACCUUAUAUGGGGUGUCUCUAAGCUACCCUGCCCUCCUCCCAGCCUUCAGCGUACUAUUCAUGUACACUGCUGAAGGCCUAUGGGGAAUGGUUGGCAGUUAGGUGCAUUCUCUUUCUGUGGUUGAGGUUUCUUGGGAUUCUAAUGCUUCAUGCCAGCUCACAUGCAGUCUUUACAAAUUCAUUAAAAUAUGGCUGGUUUUUCCUCAUCACCUGCUAUGAUAUAUUCUUUCCUCUUUCAGCUGCUCUGCUAGAAUGCAAACAGAUACAGAUCUCUACUGUUAGAAAAAGGAAUCUUCUGCACCUUCUGACUUUUCAUUUAGUUAGAUUAUUUCUGUCCUCAGAUCUCUGGUGGGUUUAAAAAACCAUGCUUUUGUUGCUUAUCUGGUUUAUGGUUAUUGUUGGGGAUCUGGCGUUGCUGUGAGCUGUGGUGUAGGUCACAGACGUGGCUCGGACCCCACAUUGUUGUGGCUGCGGCUGUGGUCUAGGCCGGCAGUUGUAGCUCUGAUUCAACCUUUAGCCUGGGAACUUUGCUAUGUUGCGGGUGUGGCCCUAAAAAGUAAAAAAAAAAAAAAUUUUAAAUAACUAAAACACAAGAAGAAACAAGCCCAAAUAAACAAAAGGCAGCAGGAAAAAAAAUAUAUAAACUGAAAUGUCAGACUCCCAAGAUUGAUAUUGAAAUUAUUAGAUACAGAUUAUACAGCAAGGAUGUUGAUCUACCUAAAUUUUAGCUGCAUGAAUGAAAAUGAGAAUUUUAAAAUCAUAGUGUUGGGCAAAAAGAAGCAAGUCCCAAAUCAAUAAAAUGGAGAAAUGAGUUUUAGUCUAUUUAUACAACACAUAUCACAGAGCAGUUUAAAAAAUGUACUAGAGCUAUGCUUACCAGGAUGGAAGAAUCUCAGAAAUAGAAUGAUGAGUGAGAAGGGCAUUAAUAAAUACAUAUGAUAUGAGCUCUUUUAUGUAAGUUUCAAGACCUGGGAAAAUUAAAUAUUCUAUUGUUUAGGAAUAUAGCAUAUAUUAUAAAACUAUUUUUUAAAGUAGCUGGUAGUUUAUAAUACAGGAUAGUGGUUUCAUAUGGAUGAGAAAGAGAGGGAAAGAGGGGCCAUGGUGAGCUGAAAAAGUUUGUUGGGUUGUGUUUUCUUUCUUUUUUUCUCUUUUGGCUGCCCCACGUCAUAUGGAAUUUCUGGGCCAGGGGUCAGAUCCGAGCUGCAGUUGCAUCCUAUGCCACAGCUAUGACAACGUCAGAGCCUUAACCCACUGUGCCAGACUGGGGAUUGAACCUGUGUCCCAAUGCUUCAGAGACACUACUGAUCCUGUUGGCCACAGUGGGAACUCCAGGGUUGUAUUUUAUUUCUUGAGCCAGGAGGUUUAAUAUACGGGUGUUUAUUAACAUUAUUUAAGGGAGUUCCCGUCGUGGCACAGUGGUUAACGAAUCCAACUGGGAACCAUGAGGUUGCGGGUUCCAUCCCUGCCCUUGCUCAGUGGGUUGAUGAUUCGGCGUUGCCUUGAGCUGUGGUGUAGGUCACAGACGUGGCUCGGAUCCCACAUUGCUGUGGCUCUGGCGUAGGUCAGCGGCUACAGGUCCGAUUGGACCCCUAGCCUGGGAACCUCCAUAUGCCGCGGGAGCGGCCCAAGAAAUGGCAAAAAGACAAAAAAGAAAAAAAAA
rnacentral:lncRNA from 1 species